AGCAAUAUACUUAAGAUGCAAAUCAGGAGUUACAAAUUACAAUGAUGUUUAUCAAAAAAUGAAUUCAAUGAUCUCUGCAGUGUUCAGCCCAUUAAUCACAACUUCCGUAAUACAUAAAGAAUACCAAGAUUAUCAACAGUCACGUACACGUCAAAAUUAGGGGACACGUGUAUUGACUUGAGGUUUGUUCCGUUCGUGUAGAAGGUUUGCAAGGAUUCUCCAGUAGUUACAUCCCAC
rnacentral:lncRNA from 1 species